rnacentral:rRNA from 1 species
GAGGGGCAGCGGGGGCGAAGCCAGCCCCGCCAGCCGGCGACCGGCGCACGGGAGAGAAACACGAAAGCGACCUGCCCCCCGCAGGGGGAAAACCGGGAGAAAUCCCGACUAAUCCCGCGUAACGCCGCUGGGCCGCAUGGCCCGGGCGGCCAAAGGAAGCGAUUCCGGCGGGGGAUGGGCAUGCGGCGCAUUAGCUAGUCGGCGGGGUAACGGCUCACCGAGGCGACGAUGCGUAGGGGUUCUGAGAGGAAGGUCCCCCACACUGGUACUGAGACACGGACCAGACUCCUACGGGAGGCAGCAGUGAGGAAUAUUGGUCAAUGGGCGGGAGCCUGAACCAGCCAAGUCGCGUGAGGGAAGACGGUCCUACGGAUUGUAAACCUCUUUUGCCGGGGAGCAACGGGGUCCUUGCGAGGGCCCGAUGAGAGUACCCGGAGAAAAAGCAUCGGCUAACUCCGUGCCAGCAGCCGCGGUAAUACGGAGGAUGCGAGCGUUAUCCGGAUUUAUUGGGUUUAAAGGGUGCGUAGGCGGGCUGUUAAGUCAGCGGUCAAAUGUCGGGGCUCAACCCCGGCCUGCCGUUGAAACUGGCGGCCUCGAGUGGGCGAGAAGUAUGCGGAAUGCGUGGUGUAGCGGUGAAAUGCAUAGAUAUCACGCAGAACUCCGAUUGCGAAGGCAGCAUACCGGCGCCCGACUGACGCUGAGGCACGAAAGCGUGGGUAUCGAACAGGAUUAGAUACCCUGGUAGUCCACGCAGUAAACGAUGAAUGCUAGCUGUCCGGUUCUACGGGAGUGGUUGGCACAGCGAAAGCGUUAAGCAUUCCAUCUGGGGGGUGCGCCGGCAACGGUGAAAACUCAAAAGGAAUUGACGGGGGCCCGCACAAGCGGAGGAACAUGUGGUUUAAUUAGAUGAUACGCGAGGAACCUUACCCGGGCUCAAACGCCAAAGGACAGCCGCUGAAAGGCGGCCUCCCUCCGGGGUCUUUGGCGAGGUGCUGCAUGGUUGUCGUCAGCUCGUGCCGUGAGGUGUCGGCUUAAGUGCCAUAACGAGCGCAACCCCCAUCGAAAGUUGCUAACGGGUGAUGCCGAGGACUCUGUCGAGACUGCCGGCGCAAGCUGCGAGGAAGGCGGGGAUGACGUCAAAUCAGCACGGCCCUUACGUCCGGGGCGACACACGGGUUACAAUGGCCGGUACAGCGGGAUGCCAGGGCGCGAGCCCGAGCGGAACCCGAAAACCGGUCUCAGUUUGGAUUGGAGUCUGCAACCCGACUCCAUGAAGCUGGAUUCGCUAGUAAUCGCGCAUCAGCCACGGCGCGGUGAAUACGUUCCCGGGCCUUGCACAAACCGCCCGUCAAG